rnacentral:rRNA from 1 species
UUCUGCCCUAUCAACUUGUUGGUAAGGUAUUGGCUUACCAAGGUUGCAACGGGUAACGGGGAAUCAGGGUUCGAUUCCGGAGAGGGAGCCUGAGAAACGGCUACCACAUCCAAGGAAGGCAACAGGCGCGCAAAUUACCCAAUCUAGACAGUAGGAGGUGGUGAAGAGAAUUACUAGGUGGUGACACAAUGUGUUACCAGUUUGGAAUGAACGUAACUUAAGAAAUUCGAUGAGAAACAACUGGAGGGCAAGUCCUGGUGCCAGCAGCCGCGGUAAUUCCAGCUCCAGUAGUUUGCUUUAAAGUUGUUGCGUUUAAAACGCUCGUAGUUGGAUCACGCAGCAGUGCCCAGUAAUCGGCUUCCUGACUCUUGCCAAUGAAACCUACUUCGGUAGUCUUUCGGUAGCUGUCGGAAGCAGAUGCCUACGCUGGGCAUUGUUAGUUGCACGUGAGAUGAAUUGUUGGCCUUUAUUGAGCCGGUAUUCUCGUCUUGCGGAGUGUGCCUUGAAUAAAACAGAGUGCUUAAAGCAGGUUAUUGCCUGAAUGUUAUAGCAUGGAACGAACAAUCGUGUAUAUGUAUGCACCCUUGAGUGGCAACGAGCCUUAGGUUUGUUGUCGGUCAGGAUGUAUACGGCACCCACCAAAAUAUGGCUGUUGGUUCCAUAUACGGUGAUGAUUAAAAGGAGCGGUUGGGGGCAUCGGUAUUUGGCCGCGAGAGGUGAAAUUCUUAGACCGGCCAAGGACUAACAAAUGCAAAGGCACUUGUCUAGACCGUUUCCAUUAAUCAAGAA